AGUCCGUGAGCUGGGGUCGCGAGGACAAGUGGGCUCGUUCUCGUCGCCGCAGUCUCGCUUGGGGUCUCGCGACAUCGGUGCGCAGGAGGAAGGCAGUCGUCUCCAGGGUCGAGCUCGCCCCUCGCCAAGAUGUUCUCCGGCCUGACGAACCAGGUGUCCAACUGGAUGGGGAAGAAGCCCGAGGACGGCGCCGAAUUCCCCGCCGAGGAGAGGGCUGCGCCCGCCGGGGUCGAGGGCGACCCCGACCUCGAGAAGAAGGACUCGAGCCCUACUAAGGGAGGCAGCAAGCUGGAGAUGCUCGCCGGGGUGAAGUCCCAGAUGACGGGCUGGCUAAGUGGAGGGAUCCCUGGAUUGGGACGCGGAGGCGCUCCCGGGGAGGUCCAGGAAGGCGUAGUGCCCCCCGAGGCACCCGAGAGCCAGACGUCGCGGGAAAGCGUCCAGGGCUCCUCCCCCGAUCACGUAAAAGACGAUGACGCUAGCAGGUGGGUUGCGGGUGCGACCAGCGGUGCCGACAGCGGACCGGCCAGCCUAGGGGAAGGAACCCCCACGGAGGACAAGGACCAGCAGCCCUUCGGAGCAGUCUCGACGAAGGCGCUGGCAGGAGCGAAGAGCCUUGGCGGAUUUUUGUACAGUGCCGUGAAUAAAGCUGGGAAAACGGUCGUCGAGGCCAGCGUGAAAAUCAAGAAGACCGUCGAGGAGAACAGGCUGAUAGCUGAACUGAACAAAGAGCAGGAGGCUUUCAUCAACAGCAAGCACAACGAGAAGGGCGAGGCCGUCGCACCCUGGGUUGGAGCACCGAACGAGGAGGCAUUGCGAAAAGAGUGCUUAGACCUGUCGAGCGAUCGGCGUAAUUUCGUGAGAGCACCCCCUCCAGGGGUGGAGUUCGCCUGGGAUUUCGAGGCCGUCCAGCCGAUGGCCCAAGCCACCCUCGCCUUGGAUCCCAACCUGGAGACCAUGAGGUUCGAGCUGGUCCCCAAAGUCAUAUCCGAGGAGAACUUCUGGCGCAACUACUUCUACCGAGUCUCUCUUUUACGUCAAAGCCACGAAUUGAACGCAAUGGUCAGCCAAACGGAAAGCAAUCCUAAUCAACAACCCCUUACAUCCUCCGGUAGCAUCGAUCAUACUCAAGUUGAAGCGAAUUUCGGCCGAGAGAACUCCGGAGUUGCGUCCAGGACGGAAGACUCCACGACGACGGACUCUUCGGGGCACGAAUUCGUGUCCGACAGCGUAAGAGCCUCGGACACGGACAUCCAGGAGGUCAGGGAAGGCAUGAAAAAACUAGGGAUGCAGCCACCUAAAGGUGUACCGAGAGCUGAGCGAGCAGUCGUGCCGCGCGGAGGGUGUCGCACCACGCGCGUCAAAGUGAGACGAUUCGGCACGACCUUGCCCAACAACUAGUCAAGGCUCCAAACCGCAACCCUGGCUCUUCGUUCAAGUCUUACUCGCUUGAUUUCGAUAUACAUAUGUAUGUACAUAUGUAUAUAUGUAUAAUGGGAGGCCCUAAUUUCGCGGAACGGGAGCGGCGCCUCGGAAAGAUGCCCCCAAUUCAUCCGAAUCGAGAUCGCCCGAGUCCUAUAACACGAGUGUGUCGCCAAAAUCAGGAUGUGGACUUACGAGUGACCGUGAUAUAUCAAAAGAUGUCUCCUUAUCCAGGCUAGAUCACUCCCCCCAUUUAUACAAGUGGAUGGAAAAAAGCAGAAGCUUUUUAAUCUCGAUGAGUAAUGGUCAAACCCGCGAUAGUAAAGUGUUAAAAGUCUAAGGUUACAGGGUGUAUUGACAAAGUGGAAUGAUUCGAAGAUCCUCUCUCGACUCGAGUCGGGCGCUCUGACGGCAAUUAAUCGCGAAAAUCGGCCGUACAUUGUGUGUGUAUAUAUAUAUAUAGUAAAAUAUGCCAGAGUCGCGUUUGGAAUAUCGUUUCCUCCCCUACCCGCCGUCGAUCGUCGUCUCGUCUUUCCCUCUUUUCUGACUUUUCUUCGUCGAGUUACACAUGGCCAACUUCCCAAUACUGUAACAUGCUACUGGGAGUAUCUGCUUGGCCAGACUCUAAUAGUUACAGUAAAAAAUAGCGAUAAACGGCACUGUAUUAGGAAGAAGCAAAAUACACGUUACAUUCUCAUUAUUUUAUCGUUGAUAAAUGCUAUAAUAUUUGUGUGCGAGUGUCCUUUCAAUCUCUCGUUCCCUCCUCUUUCCCUCUCAUCUCUUUUCUCCCUCCGUUAAAUCUCGUAUAGCGUCGGCAUCAACGUCGGCAUCCCGUGUCAAUGAUCUUCGAUUAUCACGCCGGACCUUCGCCUGCGCGGCGAUCGCUCGUAUUAUCAAUAUUAAUCAGCUAUUUUUACAAUCUCUAGGGGGGGGCCCCGCCAUCGGGCCCGAAAAAACUCGCCAACAUCCCUCUUGCCAGAUCGGACUCUAGCAGGCAAACGUGUCUCCUCGAUUUAAUUACAACUCUGCGGGAACGCGUCUCGCUGCAAGGACCUGCUCGGCAGGACAUAGGAAACCUCGGCGGCAAUGGUUCUUCAAACUAUUCUACAUCGAAUGUACAGCGCAAUGUACCGGGCACGGAGAGUCCAAUCCCGAGGCGUUCGUUAAACGGCGUCGAAAUUCGCCCUCAAAGGGUAUCCCCUGCGAUUCGUUCCCGAGUCGCCAUCUUGGGCGUCGUUUUCUUCCCCUCAUACGCUGGAAAAUGAUCGCGCAGAGUGCAACCGUCGCCUCGAGAGGGGUCCAACGUUAUAAACGAUGUAAUCCGGCAAACGGACGAGACCUACCUCAAGUCCUUUGCAACGAGACCGCUCCUCGCUUUACAACGCUAUUAGUAAAUUUGUUUAUCUUAGGUGCUAACUUUUAAGUGCCUUACGGUUCGUACAAUCGGCCCUAACUCGUAAAAUCUAUGGUGUCUAAAGUGAUGGAUUAACGCUAGAUCUCAUUUAUAAUCAGAUCGGAUAAAUUAAUCGUCAAUAAUUGCGUACGUCUCUCGUUCUCGCUCUCGCACACGCUCUCACGCUCGGUCGCUCUCACUCUCUCCCUUGCGCUCUCUCUACCUAGGCUAGACUCCGACGGAAAAAUAUAUUUAUAAAAAGUUAUAUAAUAUCAUUAAUAUAUAUAUAUAUAUAUAUAUAUAUAUAUGUAUAUAUAUAUACGUUUCAAGCGUUCUAGAUAUCGUACUAAUCCUCUACUUAAAGUCUAAGCUCCCAACGUCGACCUCGUGCCGUAGAUACUUGCGAUUCUCUAGAGGCUGCCGCCGAGGGCGGAGAGCCGCGUCUCUCUAUUUUUUUUAUUCUUUUUCAUUUAUAACCGUAAUAACUGGCUAAACCUCUCCUUAAAUGUACAGACAAAUAACUCGAGUCGAGCCGCCGGUUACGGAAUAGCCCGCAGAGUCGCUCCUCCAAAGGGGCCCCCGCCGAGUCGCGUCUCCCCGAUAAGGGGUUAUCACGGGGUUUCGCGUCCUCGUCGGGCCCCCCUCCUCUUGAAAGAUCGCCUCCGUACCCCCCUCCCGUUCUCGUGGAUGGAAUCCGUUGCUUGUGAAUGGCUUAAACGGCGCGUUCGGCGGAACGUCCCGCGAACACAAUGAUUUAUCUGUACCUCCCCUCGACGGUCAAUUAAAAUUCUUGCAGAGGCGAGAGCUCGCCCUUGCGAGUCUCGGGGAUUUUGCGGGGGAGCGGCGCUGCAUCUCUUAAAAAUAUUCUAAGCACCCGCAAGCGAUCCCCGGCCCUGCGGAUCGUCCCCGCGUAAACGGCGGCCCGAGACCGCCCUUAAUAUCGAGUGUCCCCCAACUAGUGUGUCUUCAUCAACAUGAUUAUUAAAAACUCGUAAUGAGACCUUCGCAUAUCUCGGCCGAAUGCACCGUGCUUCUUUCCAGCGUACGACAUCCUUGUAUUACAAUACGUCGUACCUUGUACCUUGUACGCGCGCGCGUGUCGAUCCUGUCUACCAGGGUGUACGUGUACGUGGGUGUGUCCGUGUGUACAUUAUCCUCGACGUUUGUGCAAGGGACAACCCUCUCCUUACCGAGUACUAAUGAAAUACCAUUGUGCGCGCGCCUCUCUAGCCCCGCGUUAUCACGUCGACCAUAUCGCGAUUACCAACGGCGCCUAGUUUACAAUAAUUAAUAUCUUUGGUAUCGUGCCUGAGUCUUCGUAUAAAAUGAAUAAAAGGAAGUCGCUAAAUUAGUCCCGAGAGAGAGCUUGCUCCGCGCUUCGAGGUCCGUCGUAUCAAACUUAGAUGAUCCCAGUCCGAUUAGAAAAGACUAGCUAAAUUUUCGAAAGUAAACCGCGGGGUAGGAUAUACCUCUCAAGUUCGUACGGAUUUACGGCAGCUUUUUGUUCCGCGUGUAUGAUGCGUAUAUGUAUGUAUGUAUAUAUAUAUAUUUAUAUAUAUAUUUAUAUAUCACGUGGCUGUCAGUGGUGUCGGUUAUCGGUAAUACCAAACCCGGAAUCUCGGGUUACCGCUCCCUUGGGACGGGGCCGACGACGGCGUCGCGACGGCGACCUUCCAAGGGAAUUCUCGUGGUCUCUCUUCAAGGUUGAAGGAAAUCGGUCCGGCCUAAUUUUACGCGACUGUUACUAGAGGAAGCAUUCUUUACGUUACGCUAGACUUCGCGUGGGAAAUGGAAACGGGGCGAAAGAGAAACGACCAAAAAAAAGAAAUGUGUAAAGAAGAUAAAGAGCAAUGACAACGAAACGUUGCGUUACCCGCGAAUCUCCCGUGUUUCUUUUUUUUUUUUUCUUUCGACGUCAAGGGAGAUCGAUGACAUGACGUCGACGUCUUCGCGUCGGACGCUUUUCGCGCGCGAUAGGACGAGCUCGGAUUCGGGAUUAGUUUGAAACUUAUUGUAAACGCGAUGAUAAUUUGUACUAUCGGUAAAAAGAAACUAUGCUUUUCUUCUUCUUUUUUUUUUUCCUUUUUUUGCGUAGUUUUUCUUUUCCUUACGUCGGUCGCGAUGCAACGAUGCAGCGGUCGGAACAAUGAACGAACAAUCGGGCUCGCCUGACGGAGUCUCUCAGUCUUUCUCGAUUAGGAAGUCAUAAGCAGGCGACCCUUCCCUCUAAUCAACGCUCGAUCGAUCGAAGAAUGACAAUCAAAUGCUUUAACAAGUUGCGGUAGUCGGAUUGUGUGUGACAUGUGCGUGUCAAAGUGCAGCGAACGUUCGAGUCAAUUGUUCACAACAUCGGAAGGGCGUCGAGUCGUCCUCGUAAACCGAUUGUUUCGGCCCUUCGACUUCCCACGAGGGUUUAGUUUUAAGAGCGUGGAAGUGGGGCCGAAAUUGCGAGCUCGGGGGGCGAUUUCGAAAGUUUAAUCAUUCCGAGAUAAACACCGAAAAGAGAAAACAAGCUCUCGGGGGGGUGGGUAAAACGUGCCGCGCCGAGUGACGCUAAGUGAAAUGUUGCUGUUUACGUGUCAACAUUUAAUUACGGGAAAUAUGGAACAAUGCUUGUAUAAUUUCCCCGUUCUGUCACUCUCGUUGGGGCAUAAAUAGGAUAAAAGUUCUGCCGUGCGGGCAAUUUCGAAAGCCAUUUGAUUCGCCCUGUUUAUACGGUUUAAACUGACACCGCUGAAGUAUGACCUCAUGUUUAUAUCGCGCAUUCGUAGCGCGCUUUUAUGCCGUUUAUGUGUUUACGUUCUAUCGCGUAUGACGGAGAGCACACGAUCAGUACAUAAAACUACGUUUGCAAAUGCAUUUCGUCUUUCUGCCAUUCUGGUCACGCUUGCUCGUUUAAACGCACGGAUGCAAUUUUAUCAGACCGCGUAUAUUUCGCCCCGUGUAACGUUCAUUCGUAACGGCUUUGUGGAAGCGGUAAGUUAUUAAUUAGAGAAACUGCCCAACAAGUGUCCAAGCUCAUCGAGGCCGUUUUAAACCCAGCGGGUAUCGACUUGGUUGCGAAAGAAGUUAAUGGAAAAUCGCCCAAAAGGAGCGAAGAUGGCUGACGGCUCUUCCUCUAGGGCGAGCCGCCAUCUUGGAAAAAGGGAAAAGACGAGAUUCCACCCUCCCACGCUCUCGAUGAUUGUGAACAAGAGAUGUCGAGGGUCAACGGCACGUGUGUUUGUCGUUCGAGAGGAGCACUUAAGUUCAACCCUCUCCAUAUCACCCCGUCCAUUGUCUAGAAAACAUCUCGUCAUAUAGAAUAUAUCACAUACGCGUUACUUCUAAACACACUGAAAUAAGAAGCACUUUAAGAUAGAUGUCUACAUACACCAUCGGGCCCGGGAUAAAUCGACUGAUCUCUCUGUUCUUCCUCGCUCAUAUAACUUUUAAUUGCCGUAUAUGUCUGUAUAUAUGUAUUAUUUACAUGCAAGCCCCGUACCUCUCUCUCUCUCUCUCUCUCUCCCCAGCUCGUUCCUUCUGCUGCCUAUUACGUAUAUGUGCUAGGGUGAUUCGCGCCCUUUGCGAAACGUACGAAAGAGUCCAAGCAAGCGUUUGAAUCAAAGAAGGCACGAUGUUCCUUAACGCGAUGUUAUCAUGUAGUAGAAACCUUCUAAAAGGGACGAUAACGCGUCCCGUCACCGCGGUACCCGCCGAUCCUCCGACUGCAAUUAUACCGUUUUGAAGAAGUAUUUGAUUAUCGGUCGAGAAAGGUGCGUGAUCCUUAAUCAAGAGACAGCAGGGCAGAGUCAGAAGGGAAUCCAGGGGUAAAUCAGAUCUAACAGGAGAGUCAAAAUUCGGUUGGCGUGUCUACUAGUAUCUAAAUGCAGCGAUGACAAAAAAAUUGAACACCGAACAUCGCUUCAGUCUUGACGUCCAAUUGACUGCAACAUCUACUCUAAGGGCAACCUCCGGUUCGGUUCCCGAACGGUAUCACGACUCUCGGUGUGAUCGUACAGCGGAGGGUCAAACUGAGGAUAGCUAUGUCGCGAUACAAAAGAGGAUCAUUGACAUCAGUAAUUUGAAUGAUUUGGCCUCUGUAGAGAUUUGUGUCUCCCCGAUCCGACGUGGGAAAAAGCGAUCGGUCCGAGAUGACCCGGUCUACUCUUCGCGCGGGCAUUCUUACUUCUACAAACUGCACCGUCGUAACAUACGUCGUUUACGGAACACCGCUGCCUGGAUAGUACGUAGAUAUUUGAAGGAUGACAUCGUAAACAAUUCCACAAGUCGAACGACAGCUCGCACGAAUGUCCUUUCUGUGCCGGACAAUUGAAAAGAAUACUCCCGCCAAUAUGUACACGCACGUCUACGAGUCUCCCGCGCGUGAUUAAUCCAUUUCGUCCCAAGAACUCAAACGAAGAUCGCCUCUCCUUUCGAUCCCGAUACCGAGCAAACGAGGACAAGCAAGUCAACGAAGAAGAAACCCAGGGAUCUCGGUACCCGCGGCCUGCGAUAAAAAAAAAAUCAGUCUAACGAUUGACGUUCGGGCCCCAGAUUUUAAACAAUAUUAAGACGAAGCCCGGAUGACACGUAAAACUAAGGGAGACAGUUUGACGGAAAUUCCGUAACGACCGUAACUUAGAUGAACAGUGAACCGUUUCGGUUCACCCUGGGGAGCCAUGAACCCGAAGGAUUCGUGGCACGACGUUUGCCAUAUAGGCGAUACUCUCCAAUUACCGUCAUAAUCGUAAUAACUAAUCAUUCGUUCGCUACCCGAGAUAAAAGAAGAGAACGUCGAAUAAUAAAUGCGAAACCGUACAACUAAACUCACACACGCACCUUUGGUAAGAAACGGGCUAAUCAGGUCGCGCCGAACUGUCCCUAAGAGGACGUUGUCCACGUGGGUCAAGAACGACCAAAUAGUCCAGUGAAACCAUCGAACGAAACAACUCUCGCCGCGAAAACAAGUCGCGAAUGCCGAUCGACGUCACUUUCCCACAUCCUUAACCCGUAAGACGUGCAAAAUCCCGGGAGACCGUGCGCCGCGUACGCGUGACGAGAUUCACGCGGUCGCCCGAUGCCCGCGCGGCGGUGCACCGAAUCGCGCGUCCCAGCUUAACCAAAGAGGGGAUUCGCUCGAACGUAAGUUAGCAAAACGCAUCGUCUCUGUCUAAAGAAUUGGAAAUCGCUCCAGGCGAUGCACCGUCCCCGCGCGGGCAUAAAUAAACCGGCUCGACGUGGCAGCCCAGUCGGAGCAGCGGCUACCGCUGCUGGCUGCUCACAUCGCAAGAUGGCGACCGCGUGGCGCAGAGUCCGCGCCACGCGAUUGGCUGGCUUCCAAAAAGGAUAGCGUCCCGCGACGUCGGGUCCCCGUGGAGGUCCCUGAUCUCGGACUAAGACCGGUAGAUGAAGCUGCACGGCGGCGUGGGCGGCGGCGGCGACGACCCGCUCAUCGCGAUCGGGACGAGCGUCGGUGAGGGCGACGAGGAGGGGGGCGACGGGGAGCUCGAGGAGACG
rnacentral:misc_RNA from 1 species